rnacentral:rRNA from 1 species
CUGGCGGCGUGCCUUAAUGAUGCUACUCCGAGCGGACAGAAGGGUAGCUUGCUCCCUGCAUGUUAGCGGCGGACGGGUGAGUAACACGUGGGUAACCUGCCUGUAAGACUGGGAUAACUCCGGGAAACCGGAGCUAAUACCGGAUAGUUCCUUGAACCGCAUGGUUCAAGGAUGAAAGACGGUUUCGGCUGUCACUUACAGAUGGACCCGCGGCGCAUUAGCUAGUUGGUGGGGUAAUGGCUCACCAAGGCGACGAUGCGUAGCCGACCUGAGAGGGUGAUCGGCCACACUGGGACUGAGACACGGCCCAGACUCCUACGGGAGGCAGCAGUAGGGAAUCUUCCGCAAUGGACGAAAGUCUGACGGAGCAACGCCGCGUGAGUGAUGAAGGUUUUCGGAUCGUAAAGCUCUGUUGUUAGGGAAGAACAAGUGCGAGAGUAACUGCUCGCACCUUGACGGUACCUAACCAGAAAGCCACGGCUAACUACGUGCCAGCAGCCGCGGUAAUACGUAGGUGGCAAGCGUUGUCCGGAAUUAUUGGGCGUAAAGGGCUCGCAGGCGGUUUCUUAAGUCUGAUGUGAAAGCCCCCGGCUCAACCGGGGAGGGUCAUUGGAAACUGGGAAACUUGAGUGCAAAGAGGAGAGUGGAAUUCCACGUGUAGCGGUGAAAUGCGUAAAGAUGUGGAGAACACCAGUGGCGAAGGCGACUCUCUGGUCUGUAACUGACCCUGAGGACGAAA